rnacentral:lncRNA from 1 species
CACCCUCGCGCGCACGCCCGCGCCCGGCACACGCCCGCGGCUGGCACACGCUGGCUCCCCCGCGCACCCUCACUGGGGCUGGCCGGCUCGGGGCCGCUCGCACUGUCACGCGCCUACACACAUCACCCCCGCACCCGCAUGCCGGGCAGGGUCCUCGCCUCUUCGCCCCGCGCCGCGCCACGCAGCCAAGCAUCGUCUGCCCGGCUGGGGCGCAGCCGGUGGCCCUGCUGUGAGGAUGCUCAGGCAGCUGAUGGAGGGAGGACCAUUUGGUGAGAAACUGAAGCCUUCCAGCAUCUGUGUAAGUGACUUUGGAAGCAGAGUCUCCGCCCCCAGUUGGGCCUCCAGAUGUCUGCAGCCCUGGCCAACAGCCUGCCUACAACCUCAUGGGAGACCCCUGAACCCAAACCACCCAGCUAAGCCACUCCCAUAGGCCUGACCCAUAGAAACUAUGACAUAGUGUUUAUUGUUGUAAGCUACUAAAUUCGGGGUCAUUUAUUACAAAGCCAUAGAUAGCUAACAUGAAGGAGAAAUACAAAAUACUAUAUAAUGUGAAGUAGAGUACAUGAAUCCAGUCUGGGGAGUCAGGAAGAUCUUCUCUAAGGAAGUGAUUGAGUAAUAGAGGAGCAAGAAGGCUGGGAAGAGGAACUCAAGGAAAGGAAGUGACAUGUGCAAAGGCCCUGAGACAGGAAGGAACAUAGUAAGUUGGAAAGACUGGAAGUGACCAGUGUGGCUGCAGCAUGGAGACCAAAUGGGAGAGUGCUUUCUAAUGAAGCUGGCAUUAUGGGAGGAACUCAUCCAAGGAAAGCCUUGAGAUAUUGUCAAGGACCUUUGUCUUUAGCAAGAGAGCAGUGGGAAGCCUUUGAAUGAUUUUAAAGAGAGAGAUGACUUGAUUAAACUUGUGUUCCUUUCAUGUCCUUUCAACUAUUGUUUCUUAUCGUGACAUUCAGCUGACAACUUCCUCUCCCUGGGCAUGUUUUGAUUUCCACAUAGACUUGCUGCCAAUAAUGGAAAUUACACGGGCUAAAACAACCUGCUCAUAAUUUGCAGUGCUGUCUUCAUGCUAAGCCUCAUCCCAUCCCAGUGGCUGCCAGUCCUUGAAGUCACCUCUGAGAGGGUGAGCUGGACAAGGUCUAAGAAGCACAGGAUGAAGUGAGGAUCUCCCUUCAAGAAUGUAAGCUCCCUGAGGGCAGAGUGCAUGUCAAUCUUGUUAAGCCCUACACCUACAGAGAUGCAGCAGAAGGGGAAGUUGGAGAGAUUCAAAGCACGCAGGGGACUUGCUCCCUCAUUGCUGGAGGGGUCCACAGGGACAGCGUGAGAAGGAAUGCAUGCAGCCUCUAAGAACCAAGACAGAGCCUCAGCUGACAGCCAGCCAGGAAGCAGGGAUCUCAGUCCUACUCCCGCAAGGAACUGAAUUCAGCAACAACCUGAAGGAACUUGGACUUGGAUCCAUCCCCAGAACCUCCAGAAAGAAUCACAGCCCUGUCACACCUUGAUCUCAGCCUUGUGAAACUCCAAGCGGAGAACCCAGCUGAGCCAUGCUGUCCCUGUCCUUCUUGUAUUAGUCAGCUUUUGCCACGUAAUGAACAACUACAAAUAUGGGGCAAACUGCAAUGAGCAUUAUUUUCUUGUCCAUUGGUUUCCAGUGUCAGCUGGGGCCAGCUGAUUUGGCUGGAUUUUGCUGGGCUUGGCGGCAAGCUUGAGUUGAGUCCUGAUCCACUUUUUAUGUCCCCCCGUCCUGCUUGGGCCAGCAGCUGCCUGAAGCAUAUUCUUUUCAUGGCAAAAGGUUGGAGCGGAAGAGCGCAGGCCAACUGCGGCACAGCUCAAGCCUCAGCUUCUGUCACAUCCGGUGAUAUCCCAUUGGCCAAAGCAAACUACACGGCCAGGCCCAGCAUCCCCAGGGCAGAGAGCUGCACGCCUCCGGGGAGGCAUGUAGGAAGAGAAUACUGGUUGAACAACAGUCACACUUCUGAAGUAUAUUUUACAUGCAUAGUUGGUACGUUUGGCAAGGAGCAAAGAGAGUAAUAGCAGUAGCAAUAAAUGUGUUUCUCCAGUAAUAUUUGCCAUAACUAUUGAAUCAUUUGAGAGGCAAAGUAUAGCAUGAAUCAACAAUGGUUUGAAUCCUUUUCCAGCACUUACGAGCUCUGUGACCUUGGUCAACUAGCUUCAUCUCCCUGAGAGUCAGUUUUCUCAUCUGUAAGAUGGAAAUGAUAAUGGUACUUGUCUCUCAGGACUGUUGUGGGGACAAAAUGAGAUGAUGGAGAUGGAGUUCUUAGCACGGUGCCUGGCAUAUAGUCAGCACUCAGAAACGUAUUCACCCUGCACCCCUCUCUAGCUGCCCUGCCUCGUACGUGCUUACACGCUCACUACAAUGACGGUAAAGAACCAGACAGGUGUGCCUGGAGAUGAUAUGCUUGUGUGCAGAUCCAACAAGGCAAUACUGGAGGGUAACCUGUGGUGUGUGUGUGUCAUACGCUGCUCUCGAAUCCACCCCGCCCCCACCCCCAUGGGCUCUCACAGUGAUUACAAGGGAUUCUGAAGAAUUCACUGAAACAUGUUACAAGCCUUGAUUACAAAGAAAAAGUGAUUUUCCUAAAGUGGAUCUUCCAUCUACCGGAAAUAGCCAGGCCCCAUUAACAAGGGAGAUAAGCAGUGCUGCAGAGAAACUCCUGGAACUCUGCAAACUCUUCAGCACAAAGUGUACUCCUUCCCCCCACGCCCCCACCAAGCCUGAUUGACAAGGCUCAACAAAACCUCAAGAAAACCCAUCCAAUGAGUCAGCUGUGCCCAGGCCUAGCUGCGAUUGCAGGAGCCUGCGGAACAGCCUUGGAAAUGGACAAUAAAUGGCGCCUUUUUAUUUAUGAGCACUUUCCAUUACGGGCAUAAUGCCCCCAUUCUUUCCCCAGUUUGUAUAUAAACAUCUCAAAAUAGGAUUAUUUUAAAAGGACCUUGGGACACAAUACUUCUGUUUGAGAGAGCGGCUAAGGCUCGCUCAUGCUAGCGUGCGCUGGGCUGCUGCUUGCUCGCCCCCUUUCCAAGAGCACUCAGCCGUCAUUCCAGGCAGAGAAAAGAACUUGUUCAGAAGCCCAUUUGGCCUGGCAGCUUCAAAGUUGCUUGCCACUCAUGGGUCACAUGGCCAGUCCUAUGAUUAGCAAUUUGGGGACCCAUGGCCGCUUCGUCCAUAAUAAUGACUCGCCUUUGCAGGAAGUCACAUUUUUCCAAAGUUCUGGUCACUGGAUUUAAGCUCGUUUAAUCCCAACACACUUGAGUCAGUUGGUAGCAUUCUUCAGCUGGGAAAGCUUAGUCCCUGAAAUAUUAAAUACCUUAACCACCGCCCAAAGAACUGGCAGAGAAGAAGCUUGAAGCCGGUUCUCGGACCUCAGGCCCAGCACUCAUCUGCUCCCUGAUCGGUGACUGCCCCAGUGGGAAGAGCGGCUGCACGCACCAGACUCAGAAUCAAGUGCUACCAGCCCAGAGCAGGACUUCCAGAACGUUCCUUCCUCUCUCUGGGCCUCCAUUUCUUUGUGCGUUUUCUUAGUUUGGGCUGCCCCCAGAAGCAGAGUUUGAGUCAAGGAUUUGAGUACAAGUCAUUUAUUUGGGAAGUGAAG